rnacentral:rRNA from 1 species
GGCUGCAAUCGUCUCGUUAUUAAUUAUAAAAAUAUGGAGGUUAUUGACACAAUGAAGAACGGAGGGUAAUCAGCAGGAGCAGCGGUGGCAGUUUUUGAUGAUUGUUAUUUUAUGGCUCGUGAUUUUCCUCUUACCAGUUUUGAAUUUUGUAAUAGAGAAGCGAAUAAAGUAGCACAUGAGCUUGCUAGACUAGCAAAAUAUUGCAUGGCAAGGGACUGGAUAGAGGAGCCUAUGGAAAAUAUUGUAUCCCUUCUUACAAACGAUGUAAUAAUUAUUUCUAAUUAA